rnacentral:lncRNA from 1 species
GGGCACCCGUGGGCCUUGGCCUCCUCGUCUAAGAGUGGAGGUGAGGAGCCCGAGCUCCCGGGGGGGGCUGUAGGCGGAACAAGCUCAGCCAGGCCUGGCCCCUGCUCCUUGUGCUCGUCGUCGUGGUCACCAUCACACACCGGGAGCCCGGCGGGCUUAGCUGCCCCCAUCGUCCUGGCCACGGCCCGCCGGGAGCUCCCCUGGCCCAUCGUCCAGCCGAGGCGGGUCAGGGUCAGCAAGCAGGAGCCGAGAGCCCCCGGGUCAGCCCUCCACGCCUGUCCCCCUCGGGAGUGCAUCUGGCCCUCGGAGGACAGAGGGCUUCGAGAGCGCGCCCGGAGGUUCCAGCGCAGCUCCCCGUAGACCCCGCACCCAAGAACGGCCCUCCUGGGGCGGGAAGGUCGGCCUCCUGGGCAGAGCGCCCAGCUUCGGGAGAGGUGCCCACCCGGCCGGCCGGAUCCGCCCCACCCACCCCGGCGACCCGUGGGGUGACAGAUGUCGCAGCCAGGGCGCCCUCACGGCCGGGACAGGGCUUUGAGAUAGGAGUAGAAGUUUGCUGAAUGAGGUGAGGGGGAAGGGCCCUCAGGCACAGCGUGGCCGUGGGCCGGGGCCGUGGGAGGAGCCAGCGGAGGUGUUGGACUUGCGGCUGCAGGCGCGGGAGCCUCGCUGGGAGGGUCGCUUGGUGGGGACUCCCUGUGUUCCGGUCAAGGCGCAGCGGUCCCCAGGGGCUCCCUGGGCCUCUCUCUGAAUCACAAAAGGAACCCGUGUCCACAUUGACCCUCGAGACUAGACUGUGCUCCUGGAAGAAACCCCUGGUCUCGUGACUUCCCCGCGGGCUCCCGAAACCCCAGGGCUCCACGCGCCUGCUGGGCGGGUGGGAGCCAACGUGCCCCCCACGCCGCGGGUGCCGUUUCCCUCCGUCCGUCCACAGGAGCACACGUGUAUGUGUUUGUCAGGAUCUACCUAUCUGAGGGAGAGCGUGGGAGGGUGCGCACGCGUGGCGGGGGAGCGGCGCAGGGGGAUCUCCGGCAGACCCCUCGCGGGGGCAGGGCCUGAUGCACGGCUCCAUCCCACGACCCCGAGAUCAGGCCCUGGGUGGAAACGGGGAGUCAGAGGCUCCACCAGCUGAGCCCCCCCGGCACCCCCUGAGCCCCGAGCUUCAACCCCGUCUCCGUGGCUGCUCUGGGACGCGCGAGGCCGGUCGGGCCGGUCCCUGAAGAUGGACGCGCGUGUGUCCGGGCCUCUCUCUCGGCCCCACGUCAGCAGGGCUGCGAGGACGGGAGUGUUGACACCCCCGCCCCCCGGCUUGCGGGGACAGCUCGGGCAGGGGUUACUGUCGCGCAGCCUCAGACCCUGGCCGAGGUGCCUAAGGACGCCGUCCCCUCACCAGCCGGGCCCUUCGAGGGAGCCCCGGGCCAUCAGGGGGGGUCCGACCGACACCUCGGACCUGCUGUCCCUCAGUGCCCCCCGAGUGAGGGAGCUGGACGUCCCUCCGUGUCCUGAGGCGGCCGAGCCCUGGGCCUCCGGGCAGACGCGCUGGCCCCGGGAGGAGGCCGCUCCGGACUUUGAGCCCGCGGCGCCCGGGAGGGUGUUUCCCGGCGGAGACCGCCCUGACCUUGGGCAGCACCCUAACUGCAACGGGGGUGGGCGGGUGGAGGGCUCUCCCAGCCAUAAAGCCGGGGUGACAGGCUCAGCGGCCCAGCCGCACCCCACUUCCCCGGCGGCCCAAGCCGAGCAGAGCUGCCGCCCCUCAGGCAGCCCGGGCACACUCGGCCACCGUCGCGCAGGCCCACCCACCCCUGUUUGUCACCACUGGGGAAACUGAGUCCCCGGGUGGGGGGCGGAGUAGCAUGGGAACUGACUGGGUCGCAGGGUCCCUUGGUUCUUCGGUCAUUGCCCCCCACUUUACGGGGCGGGGCCCCGUGUGGGGCGCCAAGCCCAGGGCCACAGGCAUCCAGCCUGCCAGGUGCUUCCGGGGGACGCGGUCUCUGCUCCUGCCAGGGCCCGGGUCCCACCCCGACCCCUGUGCUCCUGGGGGACAAGUCUAGGAACGCGGGCCUGGGAGUGAGAGAUGCUCAAACUACACUUCCUUCCUGCUGCACUCUGCCAUGGGCCGAGCCGCUCCGUGCCUCGGUUUCCCCAUCUGCAAAGAGCGGUCUGUGGUAGCCCCCCUCCCCGGGCUGUUGGGGGGCGGGUGGGUGAGGCCCGUGCCUGCGUGUCUCCCCAGAGAGGGGAGUGCCCUUUGGGACCCGGUGCCGGGGGGGCCAGGAGGGACAGUGUGCACUGCCCGCCCCGCAGAGCCUCCCCAGGGCUGGCCUCUAGGCUCUGAGCAGGGGGCUGGGGCCCGUGGCUUCACAGGCUGGCCUCACCUCUCAGGGUUGUGCAUGCGCCCGCCUGCCUGCCCACCUGCCUGCCCACCUGCCCACCUGCCCACUUGCCCAUUUGCCCACCUGCCCCCUACCUGCCCGUCUGCCCACCUGGCCGCUUGCCCGCCUGCCCACCUACCUGCCCGCCUACCUGCCCACUUGCCUGCUCAUCUGCCCACCUGCCCACCUGCCUGCCCACUCACCCACCUAACUGCCAGGCGGCGCCCCCUGCCGGCCACCUCCACCUCUGCUCCACCUUCCAGUGAGGCCACCUGCUCCCGCUUCCUCUUCCUUUUCCUCCCCACCCCUCCUCUGUGUGGCAUCCCUGGUCCUCAAGGCUCUCCUCUCCUUUCCUCUUUCUGUCCCCCCCUCCAGGAAGCUCUCCGGGGCUCCCCUCCCCCUCAGCUCCAUCCCUGGGCGCCUCUGCUCCCGCCCUGCCCAGGGUCUUGCUGGGGUUCGGGUGGGAGCUGUCCCCCGCGUGGCCGUGACCGCCAGGCUGCAGUUCUGAGCCAGCUCCCUUUCUGGGCCCCUGUGGGCGUCCGGCCGAGAGGGUCCUCCGGGGGCAGCCGCCGUUCCCGGUUCCCGAGGAAGCACAGCUGGGCCGGAGGCUGCAGAGGCCGCGGGGGCCUCAUGUCGGGGGCCUCACGCUCGCCAGACCCUGCCAUCCUCCCGCUGUGGGCGACUGUUCCUACUUAUCAUUUCUAGGGGCGACGGGACUAGCCCUGCGCCUGGGAUGGCCUUCCUGGGGCCUGGGGGGUGCCGUGGCCUCGCAGGGGACGGAGUGGAGGGGAUGCCCCUGUGCCCCAUGCGCCCCAAGCGUCCUUGAGGCCCCGCGUCCCCCUGCUCUUCCCUCAGCCCCUGUGCUCCCCAUGCCCCCCAGUCCCCAUGUCCUCAAGUCUCCCACCCCUGUGCCCCCCAUGACCCCCGUGUCCCCUGCACCUCCACGCCCCCACCCCUACGGCUCACAGGACGGGGAAGAACAAACAAACCCACAGAGACGGAACCAGAUCACGGCAGAUGGUGGAGACCGCCGGGAACAAGCGGACCAGAGGGCAGGGGUUACGUGACCCAAGCCUUCUGGGGGCCUUGCAGGGGGGGGACGACCGUCCAGAGGCAGGACUGGCCAUGCGAAGGCCUGGGGUGUCUUAGGCGCAGGAACAGCACGUGCAGAGGCGCCCCUACCCCGGGGCUUCUCCCGGUCCAAGUCCCCCUGCCACCCCGCGGGGCCCGCCGGCUCCACCUGCUGGGGGGCCCAGGUUCAGCCGGUGCCGGGGCUGGGGGCUCCCCAGGAGCCGCUGAUGAUGCGCUGGGGGGCCCAGCAUCCAAGGGGAACCCGUGAGGCCUGCAGGCUGGAGCCGGGAGGGAGCCUGCGGCUGAGGUGCAGGCCCGGGGCUCGGGCGCCUGAAGGAGCAGCUGCGGCGCGGCCUGAUGUGAGCCCCGGGCCGCUCCCCCGGGCCCGGAGGGGUCGCCUGGCUCCGCAGACCCCGGGAGCCCCGCCACCCGCCACCCCACCGCCUGCUUCCUGCAGCCCGGCGCUCCCUUUGCCAGCAGGGCCCGUGGGCGAGCGUCCAUGUGGGCGGGUCUGGGCCACGGCCUUGCGCGUGAUGUGGGUCCCCCCAGCCUGCGCCACCCGCACCCUAAGACCUUGGCGUCAGGACCUGGCUGCGGAGACGGGAAGACAGCGGGGGCCUACCAGGGUGCCUGGGGCACGGUUCAAGAGGCAGGAUGCCCCGAGGAUGCCACUGCGGGCGCCCCCAACGCAGAGCGCCCCUGCCCGGAACUGAGGAGGCCGCAGAGACGCCGGUGCCCGCCACCCCGCGGCAGGCCCUGAUUUCACAUCCUGCUUCCUGGCUGUGAGGCCUGAGACAGUUGCGUCAUUUGUCUUCUGUAAAAGACGGGCACAGCUGUGGCCCUGUGAAGCAUGGGCGCGAAACCUCAGUAUGUGACGGUGUAAAGCCUAGUACCCACCAGAGAUAGAAGGUGUGGCGAGACAAUGUUGCUGUGCCAUCUCAUGUCCACCACCACCACCACCAC